rnacentral:tmRNA from 1 species
GGGGAUGACAGGCUUCGACGGAGGAGGCUGAUCCCAAACUGCGAGCCGAGAGGCGCCGACCUCGAAAAAUCAGCGCAAACCUUUAAGUGCCAACCGCACUGACUAUGCUGCUCUUCCUCUUGCUGCCUAAGCAGUAAGCGCAUGAGCGCAAACUGACCCAACGGGUCACGUCCUUCUUUCACCGCCCUCUAGCCGGGGAUAGAAUGGACGACAAAAAGCUAGAGUGCGGCACAUGACGUCGCUAAGUGUGCCUAAGCGGGGCUUUCGGGCCCCAGCGGCUGGUUGAGUGGGAUCUUUCGUCGUUUGUAGGCCGCUCAAUGAGGAGAAACAAGCGACUACGCUCGUAGGCGUUCGCGGUUCUAAUCUUUCGGACGCGGGUUCGAUUCCCGCCAUCUCCACCU